UCUCGGCAAGCAUUAUCUAGCGCCCUGGU
rnacentral:piRNA from 1 species